AUACGUAGGGGGCGAGCGUUGUCCGGAAUGAUUGGGCGUAAAGGGCGCGUAGGCGGCGCGGUAAGUCUGGAGUGAAAGUCCUGCUUUCAAGGUGGGAAUUGCUUUGGAUACUGCCGCGCUUGAGUGCAGGAGAGGUUAUCGGAAUUCCCGGUGUAGCGGUGAAAUGCGUAGAGAUCGGGAGGAACACCAGUGGCGAAGGCGGGUAACUGGACUGCAACUGACGCUGAGGCGCGAAAGUGUGGGGAGCAAACAGGAUUAGAUACCCUGGUAGUCCACACUGUAAACGAUGAAUGCUAGGUGUAGGGGGUAUCGACCCCUUCUGUGCCGCAGUCAACACAAUAAGCAUUCCGCCUGGGGAGUACGGCCGCAAGAUUGAAACUCAAAUGAAUUGACGGGG
rnacentral:rRNA from 1 species